rnacentral:rRNA from 1 species
UGGGUAGUCCGCACGAGCGCACCCCACUUUUAGUUGCUACCAUUUAGUUGGGCACUCUAAAAGAACUGCCGGUGAUAAGCUGGAGGAAGGCGGGGAUGACGUCAAGUCCUCAUGGCCCUUACGUGUUGGGCUACACACGUGCUACAAUGGUAUUCACAGUGAGAAGCGAAGAGGCGACUCUAAGCCAAUCCCAAAAAGAUACCUCAGUUUGGAUUGUACUCUGCAACUCGAGUACAUGAAGCUGGAAUUACUAGUAAUCGCGGAUCAGCGCGCCGCGGUGAAUACGUUCCCGGGUCUUGUACACACCGCCCGUCACACCAUGGAAGUUGGUUACACCUUAAGGCAAAGCAUAAAACCUUUGACUACGGUACGAUCAGCGACUGGGGUGAAGUCGUAACAAGGUAGCCGUAGGGGAACCUGCGGCUGGAUCACCUCCUUUCU